UGUAAGCGUAUACCAAAGUUGUUGCAGUUAAAACGCUCGUAGUCGGAAUUUGGCAGUUCCGGAUGUGCGCACGUCGUGUGCGCACUUCGCGGGGAUUGCUUUUGUGGUCUUGCGUAGGAUGAGGCACUUUUAUUAGUGAACGUCCUCACGCAACCACUUUUUACUGUGAGAAAAUCAGAGUGCUCAAAGCAGGCAUUUGCUGUGAAUGUAUUAGCAUGGAAUAAUAGAAUAGGACUUGGUUCUAUUUUGUUGGUUUGUUGGGACUGAGUAAUGAUUGAGAGGGACAGUUGGGGGCAUUUGUAUUUCGGUGCUAGAGGUGAAAUUCUUAGAUUACCGAAAGACAAACUGCUGCGAAAGCGUCUGCCAAGGAUGUUUUCAUUGA
rnacentral:rRNA from 1 species